UACGUAGGCAGCAAGCGUUGUUCGGAAUUACUGGGCGUAAAGCGUGCGCAGGCGGUUUUGUAAGCCAGAUGUGAAAGCCCCGGGCUUAACCUGGGAAUGGCAUUUGGGACUGCAAGGCUUGAGUGCGGCAGAGGAGACUGGAAUUCCUGGUGUAGCAGUGAAAUGCGUAGAUAUCAGGAGGAAUACCGAUGGCGAAGGCAGGUCUCUGGGCUGACACUGACGCUCAUGCACGAAAGCGUGGGGAGCAA
rnacentral:rRNA from 1 species